UACGUAGGGGCAAGCGUUGUUCGGAAUUACUGGGCGUAAAGCGUGCGUAGACGGUUAUGUAAGUCAGGUGUGAAAGCCCCGGCUCAACCUGGGAAUGCCAUUUGAGACUGCAUAGCUAGGUACGGAAGAGGGAAGCGGAAUUUCAGGUGUAGCGGUGAAAUGCGUAGAUAUCUGAAGAACACCAGUGGCGAAAGCGGCUUCCUGGUCCAGUACCGACGUUCAGGCACGAAGCGUGG
rnacentral:rRNA from 1 species